GCGAUAGCUCGGUUGGUAGAGCACGACCUUGCCAAGGUCGGGGGUCACAGUUCAGUCUCGUUUCCCGCUCCA
rnacentral:tRNA from 1 species